rnacentral:rRNA from 1 species
UACGUAGGGGGCAAGCGUUGUCCGGAUUCAUUGGGCGUAAAGAGCGUGUAGGCGGCCAGGUAGGUCGGUUGUGAAAACUGGAGGCUCAACCUUCAGAGGUCGACCGAAACCAUCUGGCUAGAGUCCGGGAGAGGAGAGUGGAAUUCCUGGUGUAGCGGUGAAAUGCGCAGAUAUCAGGAGGAACACCGGUGGUGUAGACGGCUCUCUGGACCGUAACUGACGCUGAGACACGAAAGCGUGGGGUAGCAAACAGG